rnacentral:rRNA from 1 species
CUCGUAGGCGGCUUUGCAAGUCGGGUGUAAAACCUCCAGGCUCAACCUGGAGCCGCCACUCGAUACUGCAAUGGCUAGAGUCCGGUAGGGGAUCACGGAAUUCCUGGUGUAGCGGUGAAAUGCGCAGAUAUCAGGAGGAACACCGGUGGCGAAGGCGGUGGUCUGGGCCGGAACUGACGCUGAGGAGCGAAAGCGUGGGGAGCGAACAGGAUUAGAUACCCUGGUAGUCCACGCCGUAAACGUUGGGCACUAGGUGUGGGACCCUAUCGACGGGUUCCGUGCCGCAGCUAACGCAUUAAGUGCCCCGCCUGGGGAGUACGGCCGCAAGGCUAAA